ACAGAGAGAGAGAAAGAGAGAGACGUCUCUCUCUCUUACUGAGGAAAUGGCACGCAAUACCUUGGAUUUUUCUUCAACCUUUCAACCGCAUCACCCUAAAGCAAUCAUCAUGCCCUCCUCCUCCUCCUUGCCAUUCACACAGACUAUUCACCACCAUCAUCAUUACCCCCUCACCUCCACUAACUCAUGCUCCUUUUUCACAAUCCAACUUCUCUACGUCCCAAAACCAAAACAAGAGAAGUCACAGAGAAGAAGAAGAAGAAAAGGAAUAAAGGGUUAACCUAGCGUAUAUCAUUUGAGGCAAAAGGAUCUUUCUUCAUCGAAGGAUCCUACAACUACCUGGGGAAUCAAGCGUCUCGGUCCGAUCAUUUGCUAGAUCAAGCAAAUCCACAACAAGAAUAAUUAGAAAAACUAUUUAGCUCCAAGGGUUUUUCCUUUUUCAUUUCGAUCACUUGCUAAAUAUAUAUAUUAAUUACUAGUUUGCUUUAAUCUGUUUGAAGACCUUCAUGAUGCUGCCUAGUUAAGUUAUUUUGAUGUUUUUACUUCCUUAAAAAGAAGAUCUUAUGUGGGUAUGUUUCUCUUUGAAUAGAUCAUUUUCAUUACAUCUCUCUCUCGAUCUCUUUCUAGCUAUAUCUAAUCUUGUUGAAUGCUUAUUAACAUAUAUGUUUUGAUUAUUCUUGGUCACACGAGAAGGAAGAAUUUAUUGCUCCUUAUUCAUAUUCACGACAUGUAAUAAUUGGCUUAAUGUGGAUUCUUUCUGUUCUUGUUGAGACCAUGGGAAAUCAUAUACAGUUCAGAAGUUUCCUUUCUGAAUGAUAAAGGAAUAAAACUUCAUUACAUUUCAAGCCCGUGCCAGGUACAUAUCUACAAUGAUGAAACUAGGGUUUGCUUUUCCAUGCAGUAGAGUGUAGAAAUUAUAAUUCUUAUUCUCUCCUAGCUAGAUAUACCAUAUAUCAAGUAGCUAGAUCUUCAUGAGAUGAUGUAUGUAUGUUUAUCUGGUGACUAGCUAGUACAAG
rnacentral:misc_RNA from 1 species